CAUAAGAUAAUUUACAUGAGUCUGUUCUUCCCUCCUGUAGCAUGCAUCCUUACCUGCUAAGUCAUCUGUAGGCCCCACAUUUAUUUUGAGAGGGAGGAUUUCGUUUGUUUUCCUUUGGGAGACUCUCACUAUGUAGCCCUGGCUGGCCUGGAACUCUGCAUGUAGAUCAGGCUGGCCUGGAACUCUGUUGGAAGACUAGUGUGGCCUCAAACUCAGAAACUGGACUGAUUGCCUCCCCAGUGCUGGGAUUAAAGGUGCGCACCACCAUACAUGGGCAGAUAAGUGUUUCAAACAGCUAUCUCCAAAGUCAAGAGAGUCUAGAAUAGAGUAGGGAGGUGGGGGCAACAGUGAGGCUGAAACAACUGCAGCCCUUGGAGAGACCCAAAGGCAGCAGGGCUAGGACAGUGGAGGCCGAGGAGGAGGAAUGGUAGAGUAACUCCCCUGCCAGAGUCAGAGGCACAGGGAGGAGCCAAGAAUGACACCCGAGGAUCUGUCUGGCCUGAGCGCCUGGAUGGACAGACAGUGACUCCAGGGUAAGGAGCGGGAGCUGAAAGAGGAGGUUAGCUGUUUGUGGUAACUUUGUGACGUGAAAAUAUUUGGAACUGGUGCUCUGGGUCCCUUCAGCCAGGAAUUCCUGGCUAGCAGUAACUGUAGCCAAAGCUAAGGAUGAGGUCACCUGGUGAGUAAUGAGAUCUGAGCAGAAAGCCUGGCAGGGGAGGAAGGAAGGGAAACUCAGGAAGAGCUAGAGGUGAGAAGGAGGCUGGUACCACAGAUGUAGGAGCACACUUGAGGCAGGGGCGGUGAACCGUGUGAAAUGUUGGAUGGGGUCCGGUAUUAAGACAAUGACUUAAGUAUCUGCAGAUCUUGGAAACAGCACCCGGGUAGCAGUGUCUGUUACAGGAGACAGGCUGCAACCUCACAGGAGAAGCAUGGAAUGCCAGAAAACCCCAGCUGCUUCUUAGAAGAGAAGAAUAUUCUUGAUCAGUAACUUCGUAUAAAAUACUUUCUUUAGAUGCCAUUUCUUCAACCACAAGAGACAGACAACAGACAGUGACAGCAAGGACGACAGACAGAGCCCUGAGCACGGCCUGGUACAGAAGCUCCUGCUCUGACCUGAGUUAAGAGCAAAUGCAGAGGCAGGAGGGAGCCAGGGGCAUUAGCAACUGUCCGUGGAUCUAGAGCCUACAGAGCAGGAGAGCUGACGGUUGGGAGCGUGCCAGGUAACUCUGCUGGGCCUGCUGGACUUGACAACAGAAGGCGGGCAUCUCUAGAUGGCUAGGUGGCAGGAAGCUUUGAGUGUCCUUUUUCCUAAACGCUUGGAACAAGCUGAGAGAUUAGGGAUGGUUUUGGACUGUGGAAGAUCUGUAUAUACUUUAUGAAAACUCUUGGUUAUGGGAUCAUCUAGACCCUAAAACACUAUGUUUCAUAAGUCUUACCUACUUAGCUUGAAGGUAACUUAAUUCAACAUUCUUAGUGUGCCUACACGUUUGCCGUGACCCCAACAUAAGGAUAUCAUGUUGAUAUUCAAGUCUUGGACUUUGAAACACUUAAAAUAUCCUAUUAGAGGCACUUAAUCUGUAUAAUAAAAUAUUUUUAUUAAUAAAGUAUCUGUACAUAAGGCAUAACUCAACUUUGUAUUCAGUUCCAUCCAAUAGUCAGGCAAUGCAUGUCUUCAGGAGGAGGAGGGAGAGGAGGAGGAGGAGAAAAAGGAGGCAACAAUUUUGUGCAUCUAUCUUCCUCUUCUUAAGCUGGUAGCUCCUUAGAAAGUGAAGGGAGGAGUUUGGUGGCAAGACAGCUGUGAAAGUAUUGGAAGACUAUACUCCUUCACUAGAAAUGGUGUAUUACAGCAGUUGUGAGUUCCUUGCUGGGACCCCAAGUACAAUGGGGGUUUUCACAGCUCACAGCAAGCGGGGGUGGAAGGUGGG
rnacentral:lncRNA from 1 species